GACGAACGCUGGCGGCGUGCCUAAUACAUGCAAGUAGAACGCACAGUUUAUACCGUAGCUUGCUACACCAUAGACUGUGAGUUGCGAACGGGUGAGUAACGCGUAGGUAACCUGCCUGGUAGCGGGGGAUAACUAUUGGAAACGAUAGCUAAUACCGCAUAAUAUUGAUUAUUGCAUGAUAAUUAAUUGAAAGGUGCAAUUGCACCACUACCAGAUGGACCUGCGUUGUAUUAGCUAGUAGGUGAGGUAACGGCUCACCUAGGCGACGAUACAGAGCCGACCUGAGAGGGUGAUCGGCCACACUGGGACUGAGACACGGCCCAGACUCCUACGGGAGGCAGCAGUAGGGAAUCUUCGGCAAUGGACGAAAGUCUGACCGAGCAACGCCGCGUGAGUGAAGAAGGUUGUCGGAUCGUAAAGCUCUGUUGUAAGAGAAGAACGGGUGUGAGAGUGGAAAGUUCACACUGUGACGGUAGCUUACCAGAAAGGGACGGCUAACUACGUG
rnacentral:rRNA from 1 species